AUUAAAACUCAAGCAGAACUAGAAACUGGCUUUAUCAAUAUCGUCUCUAGCUCUAUGCUGGCAAAACAUACCUAUCUAACAUGAACACAUGUAAAUUCUUUUCGAAUUUAAUGGACAACUCUUAGUGGUUUUAAUCUGCAUGUUUCUUUUGACUUUCUUAGACCUUAUUUCAGCUGUUGAGUCUGAUUUGAUUUAAAGGGGGUGGGUUGUGUUUGAAAAAUAUUUUCAAAUAUAUUAGGCUUACACUAAGGACAGGUAGACUGUUUAAAAUUGUUUUUUCUAACUCUAUUUGAAUCUGAGCAGAUAAGGAGGAAGUUGUUUACCCAACACCAGUCUGUUUAAAAAAAAAAAAAAAA